GCCUGGGUGGCUCAGCCAGUUGAGCGUCCGACUUCAGCUCAGGUCACGAUCUCACUGUUUGUGGGUUCAAGCCCCGCGUCGGGCU
rnacentral:tRNA from 1 species